ensembl:lncRNA
CUCCUCCUCCCUGUCCUUCAACUCUAACAGCUGAUGACUUUGCCACAUUCUUCAUUAAUAAAAUUACAACCAUCAGUGCACAAUUCUCCACAACACACACUGUUAAACACAUCUUACCAGAAAACAUAAACUCGCUCACAUCCUUCUCUCCACUCUCUGAGGCCAAAGUCUCCAAACUCAUCCUUUCCAAGCAUCCUACUACUUGUCCACUUGAUCCUGUUUCAUCUCAUCUCCUUCAAGCAAUUUCUUCCUCAGUUGUACCUGCACUCACGCACACAUCCUUAACACAUCCCUUCACACUGGUGUCUCUCCCCCAGCAUUUAAACAGGCUUGGAUAACCCCAGUACUUAUGAAACCAGCACUUUUAGAAAACUACAGACUAGUAUCCCUUCUUCCAUUCACUGCAAAAACACUUGAAUGAGUUGUAUUCAACUAAGUCUCUGCCUUUCUCACACAGAACAAAGUCUGGCUUCAGAAGUGGACAUUCAACCAGGAUUGCCUUGCUCUCGGUUGUUGAAGCCCCAAGACUCAUUGCGCCUCAUGCAGGUCUUCCCUGACGACAGCCACUCAGAGUGUGUUUCCUGUCUGGAGAUUUUCCCAUUUUAUUCCUUCCUGGAGCCUGUGAGGAAAAAACAGCAGGCCAGAGGGACUCAGCACGAUGGUCGACCCCAUCCCUUUGCCAUCUAUGGAUCCCAGCGAUGCCAAAACAGAGAUGGUCACCAAGCUUUUCUGUGUCCUCUCUAA